UCCCUGGUGGCCUAGCGGUUAAGAGCUCAGCAUUGUCACUGCUGUGGCUCGGGUUCAAUCCCUGGCCCAGGAA
rnacentral:tRNA from 1 species